UACGUAGGGGGCUAGCGUUGUCCGGAAUCAUUGGGCGUAAAGAGCGUGUAGGCGGCCAGGUAGGUCUGCUGUGAAAACUCGGAGGCUCCAACCUCGAGACGUCGGCGGAAACCAUCUGGCUAGAGUCCGGAAGAGGAGAGUGGAAUUCCUGGUGUAGCGGUGAAAUGCGCAGAUAUCAGGAAGAACACCCGUGGCGAAGGCGGCUCUCUGGGACGGUACUGACGCUGAGACGGCGAAAGCGUGGGGAGCGAACAGG
rnacentral:rRNA from 1 species